rnacentral:rRNA from 1 species
GACGAACGCUGGCGGCGUGCUUAACACAUGCAAGUCGUACGGUAAGGCCUUUUCGGGGGUACACGAGUGGCGAACGGGUGAAUAACACUUCCGUAACCUGCCCACCACCUUGGGAUAACGCCAGCAAAUUGGCGCUAAUACUGGGUAUGUACUCCGGCUGCAUGGUGGGGGUUGGAAAGCUCCGGCGGUUGUGGAUGGUCUCGCGGGCUAUUAGCUUGUUGGUGGGGUAGAGGCCUACCAAGGGGGCGACGGGUAGCCGGCCUGCGAGGGUGACCGGCCACAUUGGGACUGAGAGACGGCCCAGACACAUACGGGAGGGAGCAGGGGGGAGUAUUGCACAAUGGGUGCAAGACAGACGCAGCAACGCAGCGUGCGUGAUGACAGACUUCGUGUGGUAAGCCGCUUUCAGCAGGGACGGAGCAUUUUGUGACGGUACCUGCAGAAGAAGCACCGGCUAACUACGUG